AACGAACGCUGGCGGCAGGCCUAACACAUGCAAGUCGAACGGUAACAGGCCGCAAGGUGCUGACGAGUGGCGAACGGGUGAGUAAUGCAUCGGAACGUGCCCAGUCGUGGGGGAUAACGCAGCGAAAGCUGCGCUAAUACCGCAUACGAUCUAUGGGUGAAAGCGGGGGACCGUGAGGCCUCGCGCGAUUGGAGCGGCCGAUGUCAGAUUAGGUAGUUGGUGGGGUAAAGGCUCACCAAGCCAACGAUCUGUAGCUGGUCUGAGAGGACGACCAGCCACACUGGGACUGAGACACGGCCCAGACUCCUACGGGAGGCAGCAGUGGGGAAUUUUGGACAAUGGGCGCAAGCCUGAUCCAGCAAUGCCGCGUGCAGGAAGAAGGCCUUCGGGUUGUAAACUGCUUUUGUACGGAACGAAACGGUCCGGGUUAAUACCCUGGGCUAAUGACGGUACCGUAAGAAUAAGCACCGGCUAACUACGUGCCAGCCGCCGCGGUAAUAC
rnacentral:rRNA from 1 species